UACUCUUACUUGCUCUUAAUGUUGUAAUUUCUGUUUUCAUAUUUUUUGACAUUUAGAUAAUUAUCUGUGUUUUUCUUCAGUUGUAAGAUAAAAUUGUUAUAUCUUGUUCCUAGACCAGUGUCAUAUCAGCCUAUGGUAAAUAAAUAUAUUCAUGAUAAUAAUACAUACAUUUUUCUAAUAAUAUAAAAUGUAUUCAUGCCACUGUUCUUUUAUAAAGUAAUAUAGUAUGAGAGCAGCGCUGUCUUGAAUAAUCACACAAACAUUUAAUCAGCUCACAGAUCUGAAUCUGUGAGCUGAAAAAAAAGAAAAAGUUUUAAAGAUCAUUCAUAUUUCCAUCGUAUUAAAUCAUCUGUAUGUUACACUCACCAUUCCUUCUUGAUUGACAAUAGUACAUUAAACCAGCAGCUGCAGCAACGAUCAGCAAAACAACAACAACAACAAAUAUUCCUGAUACAACAGCUGGAGACAGACCUGAAUCUGAAAUAAUACAGACAGACAGUCAUUAUUUAUUAGUAAAUGACUGAGAAAAAACUUUUCCUUUACACUUUGGUAAUCAGUUGCACAUUGAUUUAACUGAUAAAUGGCUCCAUCUGGUGGGUUUUUGAAGAACAGCAGCUAAAACAGCAUCACAACACUGUGAGAUCAACUGGAAAUAUCAGCACAGAAAAACUGACUAUUCCUCCAAUUAAUAAAAUACACAUCUCUACAAUCCUUAAUUGCAUCAAAAGAUUUGGUCUUACUUUGGAUUGAGAGCGUUGUAUGAUGAUCAGAGGUUUCAAGGUGGAGUCCACACCAGCUCAGUCAGAGUCCGGUGCUCUUGAGGCUCGAUGGAGUAAAUAAAUUACAGAACUUAUCCACUCAUAUUCCAGAGUGAGAACGCUCAGAUCUUCCACCCAGAUGAUAUUAAAUGUUCCAAAAUCCAGACUUAAAUCCAAAGGUGACAGAGCUUUCUCAGUUCAUGGUCCUAAGCUCUGGAAUUCCCUACCUGUGUCUAUUAGACUUUCCCCUACUCUUUCUACAUUUAAAUCUUCUCUCAAAACAUACUUUUUUUC